UAUCUACGGCGCUGGAAGCCGGACCGUAGAAAAGAGGCGAGGGAUGGAGAUGGAGAGAGAUGGAGGGAUGAGGUAUGGAUGGGAGCAGGAGCGCACCACGGACGAGACGAACUGCGGCGUGGAGGUUUUUAACGCCCCUGUGUUUGUCGGUGAAUGAAUGACCAGCCCUGAGGGACUCAGCAGGAGACAGAACCAACACUGCUGCACCUGGUUUUACAAUUAAAGGAUAUUUCUUGCGGCCACUUCUGGAUCAGAAAUGUCCUUUAAUUGUUUGGUCAGGUGUGGUUCGGCUGAGCUGGUGGGGAGUUCAGCACCGCGCCGGUCCGGACAGCUCCUCGGCACCUCACACUUCAGUUCCGCCUCUGCGUCUCUAAGCCUUUCAGAUGCGACUGAAGCUGAUUCAGUAAAAACAAAGAGUUCCCUUUGGAAGAUUAGCUGAACUUUUAUUUGUAUUAUUCUAAUUUUCAGUGUCUUUAUUUGUCUGUUAAUAGCCAAUAUAGCCUUAUUAUUAUGGCAUUUUAAGUUUAAGACCAAUGAACAUAAAUAAAUGUGAAUCUUUAAUCAAAUCUAAGUUUUUUUGUUUUGCAUGUCUGAUGAUGUUUUAAAAUCAGCCAAAAAUUAAUAAAAAAUUUGUUUUAAUUCAGUUUUCUCAAGUUGAACGUGUGCAUAAACAACUGCUCUGCACUGCACAGAUCAACCAGAUGAUCUUUAAUCCAAAGCAACAUCCAACUAACAGGGAGGGGUCCUGUCCCAUGAAACUGUUGGAUGAGAGACAUGUUGGCCUCAUGAGUCUGCUUCAGGUUUUUCAAAAUUCUGAACAGUAUUUUUUUAUAAUAUAAAUUUUCAUAUGUACAUUAAAUGGUUACAUUUGAUUUAAUAACUUUUAUUUUUAUGUUAAAUAAUUGAAUAACCACCGUCACUAUUUAUAUUCUAACUUCAGAACCACCUGAAUUUAGCCAGUAGACCGAAUGUUGCUUUUAAUCUCACUUUUUAAAAUUAGCUUUCAACUUUGACAUAAACUUUGUUUUUGCCAAAUAUAAAAAGCUCUUCUUUAAAAGUUGAUUCAAAUGUAAAAUAAAUCAUGAAUUCUGUUUGUCUCGCCUUGUUUGAAACAGCAACUCGACUUUAAUCUCCUAAAUAAAGUUACACUCACAACUGA